rnacentral:tRNA from 1 species
GUCCUGAUAGUAUAAACAUUACACUGGUCUUGUAAACCAGAAAUGAGAGCUACUCUCUCAGGAUA